UAGCCCCGGACUUCCUGUUGGCUGCUGCUCACAGAGCUCACUUCAGACACGUUUGUGAAGAGAUCUCACUGACAGCCGACAAGAAAACAAGGAAACAGAUCUCUCUUUUUCUCUGAAACCUGGCUUUCGGAGACAUGAACGUGUGUUACAUUCUGGACGGGAUUCUCAUCCUUUAUGGCAUCAUCCUCACCGUCCUAUACUGCAGAAUGAGGUGGACUCCUGCUGAUCCCCCUGCGAAGAAGAAGCCCGUGGAGGGAGGCAUUUAUGCGGUGAGACCUCUAAUUCUAAUGCUUAAAAAGACAUUAAAAACUGCACAUGAUGGAAACGUGAACGCUUAAGGCACAAGUGCAUGGGUUUGACCUCUCAGAGCACCGACACCUACGAGACCAUCAAAAUGGAUAAGAAGCCGAUGGUCUGACGGGACUCUCUUAAAGCUUUAAACUGUAUAUUAUCCUGCCUUUUCUUUUUGUAAAAAAUACUAUUCUUAUUUCCAAACUGCGCAUGUAUGUAAUGGUAAAACUAACUUAAUUUAACAAUGCACUAAUAAAGGCUUUAUGUGUUUUCA